ACUAAGAGCUGAUUCAGCUAUCUUAAAUAAAGAUUUUAGAUUGCAUCAGUCGGUGCAUAAAAACUCCCACACUUAGAAAAUCGCCCUAUCUGACCCAUAAUUGAACAAAUUGGUUCAAGUACUUUCCUUUUCUGAUAAAUGUUUUCAUUACUUUCCGUGCACUGCCCCGUCGUAGCUUUCCAAACACAUCUCAUUUUCUUCCCAGAUUGUCUACAAUAAUAGGACAAGCCUGACAAUGGAUCUUGCCCAUUACAGGAAACAAGAAUAUAGCAAGAUGAUACACCUGCUCCUCUCCAUUGAUAAAUAAGUGAGUGAAAGAACAAAAAGAAGAGUCCCAAAUUUUCUCUCGUUUGUUUAGCAAUUUGCAGCUGAAUGCAAGCUACGCCAUUUCUGACCAAAACUUCCCAAAUUUUUAUGUCGCUCAAAAAGUUUCUUAUCUUCACACAAAUUACAUUGUUAUUGAACACAAGUGAAAAUUACACAGAACAACACCUCUAUCAUACACGGACGCCGACAAAGAUUUAAAUCUUAUAUAUCUCACCAUCACAUAUA
rnacentral:misc_RNA from 1 species